AGUCCCUGUGGGGGGCUCGCCCUGGGGUCUCGGCCCAGCUGCCGCGGCUGAGACCCGCCCUUUGCCGCGUGGGCUCGGUUGGAAGUGGGAACCGCUCCCUCCUUCCCCAAAAACCGGCACCUCCCGGGGCCCGGCAGCGCCCCCUGCUGAGCGUGGCUGUGACUGCGCCGAGGGGCGAAAAGCGGCUCCUUGUUUUGGGUGGGAGUUUGGGUACGGGGCUGCUGCUUGUUUUGUGGUGUUACCUGUGUAUAUAUAUAUGCGUAUUCUUUACUAAAGAGCUGUUAUUUUCCGCACCUUCUCGACUGGAGCCUCUAAUUUCGAAGUCAUAGUUACUCAGAAGGAGGAGCUUGUUUUUUCUUCUAUCUCGCCCUUCUUCGCAAACAUUUUUGUCUCGUUAAACUGAGACAAUAGAUCUAGGUACUUUCCUUUUCCCAUAGAUGGACUCUCACCUGCUCUUCACUCUCGCAGAUCUCACUUGCUAACCAUGAAGAGUCCAGCAGCUGAGCCCAUGCCAAAUGUCCGAGAAGGAAAACUCACAGCUGAUUUUACUCUUUCCCAGAAACCAAAGACACUUCUCACCUAUUCCUACCAUGCAAACUCUCAAUCUUACAGCUUAGAUCGAAACUGAGCAGUUUCCAGAUACAGCCCAAAAAAGAGAAGUGUGCCAAGAGAGAAAGCUUUCGCUGACCUACCCCUUCUAAUUGCAAAUUUCGAGGCACUCCUAAUUAAGUGACAGUCACUUUCCCCUUGCAGCCUUUAAACUGUACACACCCCACAUUGCACUGCACAUGGAAAGAAUAGGCAUGGGCUCAGCUUCUGGACUCCUUAGGGUUAGCAAGUCAGAUGUGCAAUAGUGCAAGAGAAGGUGAGAGUCCAUCUAUGUGAAAAGGAAAGAGCAGAGCCCCAGGGUGUAGUCUGUAGUUGAAAGGCUGCAAAGAGAAGGGCUAAUCCAGUAACUGGUUUUGCCUUGGCCUGUUUUACUCUACAGGAGCUGUAGUAGACACUCUGGACUCUGCCAGACUGAAAGUGCUUCAGUGUAUAUCUACCUGAGAAGAACAUGCAGUGCAGAGUGGGAUGAGUACAGUGGGUUCCUCCACAAACUUCUCCCUCAGACCACCAGAGACCCCUUGAAAAGCCAAACUGUAGCAGAUAAGGAAGGAAAGACACCUCUGCCUGACCUGUUGGGGAUAGCACAGAUCCUGCUGGUCCCAAGGAUUGGGAAUGUGGUGGGAGCCAAAAGCACCUUCCCCAGGCUGGAGAGUCUUUCCUAAAGCACCAUCUCUGGGAAGCAAAGGGUUAUGGAAGAAAAGGAGGGGUUACUUACAACAAUAAUCAUAAUAAUAUUGGGGAAGAGCAACAAGUCCAAGGGAGCAGGAGGGAUGCUGAGCUUCAAACAGUGUUUGAGUGAGGCAGAAUCUCCUGGGAUGUAUAAAACACAGCUCCAGGUCUGGGAUUACAGGUUCAGUGCAAACUCCUCCUGUGCACCCUCUGUAUUUGCCUCCCGCUGGCACUUGGCACCUUGGGCAUGUUUGGGUGUAAGUGCACUGGUGCACUUGAGGGAUCAGGAAAAUUGGCACUAAACCACUUCACACAGGGCUGACUCUGAGCUCUUGCUGGGGAAAGCAUGUGGCACCUUGGACAUUUCAAUAAACCCAGUUUCCAUUAAUCGAAAACAUGUUAAUUUGGGCUUGAAGCCAGACUGGUUUCAACAUCGCCUGGCCCCUCUCAGCCCCCCACCGAUAGAUUUGCAAAUAGGGCAUUGUCCUAAUGAGUUGCUUGGUCACUUCCAGGGGGAACGUCUUCCUACACCCUUAACCAAAGCAGUCGUGUAGGACAACACGGGCUGUUCGUGGAAGGCCUGAUUCAAUUGGGAAAAAAAACCCUAAACAAACAAAACUACCCCAAAUUUCAGGGUGAAAACACAGUGCUGCUUUAAUAGGAGCAAACACAAAGUCUGGCACCACGUUUCCUCUUUAUUCCUGGUGUCCUGGAAACCCACAGGGAAAUACAAUCCCUCAGACCCUGCAUUCCUGAACACGAGGGCAACUGGAGUUUUAACCAGAUCCCAGUGACCUGUACAACUGUGUGGACAUGCGCGUAAGCUCAUCACUCCAUCCAGCCCAUCCCUCAUGUCCAAGAAGUCCCAAAGAAGACUCCAAAAAAUCCCAAAUCCUCCCAGUCCUCCACUGCAUCUAUGCUGGGGCCAAUGCCUGCAGUAAACCCAGCUCAAGACUGUCACCCAACCCUGCAUCAGAUCCAUCCCUGGGAGAGCUGGAAAUACACCAAGAGCUCGGCUCCCUGGGGUCCUGAACCCUCAAACCAAUCCUCAGACUCACAAAUAAUGACCGACCUGCACCUCUCAGCACAGCCAAACACCACAGCUCUGUUAUCCCAAAUUAACCUGGCCAUUCACUCCUUCAUCUCUACCAUUUUCCAGCAGACACAUGUAGGGCCAGACUGGAGUGUAAAAGAAAGCCAUUUCCCAGGGAGUUAAUCCCAGCAGACAGGAAAAGAGAAAUGUGUCCCUCUGAUUUACCAGACACCACAAGCAGGGCCAGGUGCCCUCCAGCGCAGGGCUGGAGGCUGUUGGGUUUGGCUGCUUAAAUACCAAAGCAUUUGGCAUUGCUGGGCUGAAUUGAGAUCCCUGGCUGACCUCACCCUGCCAUCCCUGGAGUCUCUUCCACUAUCCCUGAGGCAGGAGCAGCAAUUCUACCUGUUGCUGCUCCCAGCUGUAGCCCAGCACUUUCCCCGUCCUCCCAUUAUUUGAAAGCCCCUGGAGCAGACCAUGCACCUGGAAUUCCUCAGGAACAGGGAACUGUGCAUUUUACAUAAAAUAGAGGUCCCCUUCAGUGCAGCCCAAUUCCUGCUAUAAUUCCUGCCUCUUUUGAUCUAACCCUUCUGUUUUCAUAUCGCCUCCUUCUUGAGCCUUUUCUAAGCUGUGUCCAUUUCUCACAGGACUCUGCUAGGACAUGAGAGCCUGAAUGUGCCCCCAGUUGGGAUGACAAGUUGCCAUCCUGGUUUUAAUCACACUCUGCAUUCCUUUGGGAUUCCUGCAGCAUGGCCCCAUUUUUCUUUACAUCCCAGUUAGCUUUUAAAGCAAAAAAUCUCCCUCAAGGACUGCAUCCCAUUUUUUCCUGCCUCCUACAAAAUGACACCGACUGUAAAAUUGUGUUGUAUUCUACAGACCCAUUUUCUGGUUGUUUUCCCCAUUGUCAGUUCCUAACGAGGCUAUCUGCGAUUGCAGAAUCUCCCAGGUCAUGGGGUCACCAGGAGUCACAUAGUCAAAUUUACCCCAGUUUUUCAGGAUCAUCACCAACAUGUGCCAACACAGUACUGGAGGGCAAUGUCACCAUGAUGUCUCCAUGAUGUCAUCCCAGACCUGGGACUGUGGUCCCAGAGGGUCCCAGUUCACAGUUUAGGAGGAGCCCACAUUCAAAAUUUGGAUGGCACCUGCAAAUAGAGUAUGUCAGGGGGUUGCUCCCACACUGGAGAUGCCAGGACAAAAAGCUGGUCUUUACACCCCCUGGGCAGCCUCUGAUCUGCACCAACAACACGAGCGCCAAGUGCUUUCUUUGUGUAAAUAAAUGUACUGCCAUAAUUUUUUGCUGUCCUUUUAUUCUAGAACCUUAUUUUUGGGAGCAGUGGCUUGAUGACUCAAAUUGGGAGGGGGACUUGUGAGACUGUAAGGAAUAAGAUGGCAUUUCUAGCUGUGAAGAAAAGUACAGAGCCCCAGUGUUAGGCUGUGAGGAGUGGGGUGGUCCAGAAACUGCUCCUGUCCUGGCACAUUUUUCUGUGCAAGAUGUAGAUGGAAACUUUUUGGGUUAGUUUUUUAGAUUGAGAGAAUGUGAUGGUGUCUAUAGCUGAGAGGGAAAGUAGAGGGAACCAGGGUGUUUGCUGUAGUGUACAGGCUGCAAGGGGAAGGUCAAGGCCAGCUUUUUGUUCCAGGACCUUUUGUGUGGGAGCAGCUGCUGGGUAUUUUCAGUUUUGAAGCUAGGCUCUGUGAUAGUGAAAGACUACGAUGGUACAGAGAGCUGAGAAGCAAAGGGCAGAGCUCCAGGGGGUGUGUGGUGCAACACAAGGGAUGUGAAUUCAUUGUGGAGCCAAUAAGAUCUGAGCACCUAAAGGUGCCAGGAAAGAAAGCUGUUCCUUCCCUUUACCUUCCCUGGGCAACCUCUCAUCUGCACCACCAACACUGGUGUAGGUGCUUUCCUUCACAAGGAAAAGCACUGUCAUCCACUUUCAGGAGGCCAACUUUGAAAUUUGAAUCUGUGCUCUGUGAUAAACUGAGAAAAUGAUUCGAUCUAAUUAAGAGAAAACAGUGUAAGGUCAAUAUGACCUGGAGAGAAAAGAAAAACAAGUCAUAAAACUUAAUUGGGCCCUAUAAAGAGAUAAAACAAGUUACCUCCCUUUUACCUUGUGUAGGAUUUAUAGUGAGAGAAUUUUGUUUAGUUAGCUAGAUAAUAGCACCUUUCUUAAAAUUUAUAACUUUGUAUAGAUAACAAGCGAACAUCUGCUGAAAGUCUGAUAUAACAAUGUGUAAUGUUUAUACUCAUGUACCUAACAAUGUGUAAUGUUUAUACUUAUGUAUAAUGAAUAUUCAUGUAGUAGCUGGAAAUAAAUGUAGAACAAAUGUCUUCUUUGGGUGUGACAGGCGUUGGGAGUUGUUGAACCCCUUCCCUGAUCACCCAGCGCUGAAUUUGCUUUUAUCAUAUAAUAAAUUCUGAUUGGAAAUUA